rnacentral:rRNA from 1 species
UACGUAGGGUGCGAGCGUUGUCCGGAAUUACUGGGCGUAAAGGGCUCGUAGGCGGUUUGUCGCGUCGGGAGUGAAAACUCAGGGCUUAACCCUGAGCCUGCUUCCGAUACGGGCAGACUAGAGGUAUGCAGGGGAGAAUGGAAUUCCUGGUGUAGCGGUGAAAUGCGCAGAUAUCAGGAGGAACACCGGUGGCGAAGGCGGUUCUCUGGGCAUUACCUGACGCUGAGGAGCGAAAGUGUGGGGAGCGAACAGG